rnacentral:rRNA from 1 species
UGCCAGCCGCCGCGGUAAUACGAAGGGUGCUAGCGUUGUUCGGAAUUAUUGGGCGUAAAGCGCGUGUAGGCGGUUCGUUAAGUCUGAUGUGAAAGCCCGGGGCUCAACCCCGGAAGUGCACUUGAAACAGCAAGACUUGAAUACGGUAGAGGAGAGAGGAAUUCCUGGUGUAGAGGUGAAAUUCGUAGAUAUUGGGAAGAACACCAGUGGCGAAGGCGGCUAACUGGCUCGGUACUGACGCUGAGAUGCGAAAGCGUGGGGAGCAAACAGGAUUAGAUA